GACGAACGCUGGCGGCAUGCCUAACACAUGCAAGUCGAACGAAGUCUUCGGACUUAGUGGCGCACGGGUGCGUAACGCGUGGGAAUCUGCCUUAAGGUGCGGAAUAACUCAGAGAAAUUUGUGCUAAUACCGCAUAAUGUCUUCGGACCAAAGAUUUAUCGCCUUAAGAUGAGCCCGCGUAAGAUUAGCUAGUUGGUGAGGUAAAAGCUUACCAAGGCGACGAUCUUUAGCUGGUCUGAGAGGAUGGUCAGCCACACUGGGACUGAGACACGGCCCAG
rnacentral:rRNA from 1 species